rnacentral:rRNA from 1 species
AACGAACGCUGGCGGCAUGCCUAACACAUGCAAGUCGAACGAGACCUUCGGGUCUAGUGGCGCACGGGUGCGUAACGCGUGGGAACCUGCCCUUAGGUUCGGAAUAACUCCCCGAAAGGGGUGCUAAUACCGGAUAAUGUCUUCGGACCAAAGAUUUAUCGCCUUUGGAUGGGCCCGCGUUGGAUUAGCUAGUUGGUAGGGUAAAAGCCUACCAAGGCGACGAUCCAUAGCUGGUCUGAGAGGAUGAACAGCCACACUGGGACUGAGACACGGCCCAGACUCCUACGGGAGGCAGCAGUGGGGAAUAUUGGACAAUGGGCGAAAGCCUGAUCCAGCAAUGCCGCGUGAGUGAUGAAGGCCUUAGGGUUGUAAAGCUCUUUUACCCGGGAUGAUAAUGACAGUACCGGGAGAGUAAGCUCCGGCUAACUCCGUG